UAGGAGGGAGAGGGAGGGAGACCAUGGAGGCAUCUCAAUCAAGUUCUUCUGCUUCCUUGUCCUCCGGACUUAUCGAUUUCUGCCAUUAUGGAAUAAGGUCGCCUUUAAGGACCUCAUGGACUAUUGGAAACCUUGACCGGCAUUUCUUUGGAUGUGGGAUGUAUGAGGUAUGUUCUCAUUUUCCUCUUUUCACAUUUAUUCUUGGAUUUUUGGUUUGAAUCUUUAGUCUCAACUUGGUGUUCUAGAUAAAUGGAGGAUGUGGUUACUUUUUUUGCUAUGAUUCACCUCCAAAUGCAAUGGACAAGGACAUCAUUAACAAGCUCUUGUAAUGGAACAAGAAGCUCGAGGCCCAGCUUUCAAGCUACAAAAGAAGGAUCAAAUAGGCAGUGCUUUGUAGGCUAGUGUUCUAGGUUACUGUGGCUAGUUAUUUUAUGGUGUCUCAAUUUUGAACUUUUGAUGUGUUAAGGAUCUCAAGUUGAAGGUUUGGGGUUUGUGGAGUGUCCUAAGCUGGAUGCUUUGUAGUUUAUCCCAUAUUGGAUGUUUUGUUUUGGAGGUUAUUCCAUCUUAUUUUGUAAUCUCUAAACUGAG
rnacentral:lncRNA from 1 species